rnacentral:tRNA from 2 species
GCGAAAGUGGCGGAAUUGGCAGACGCGCUGGACUUAGGAUCCAGUGCCUCACGGCAUAGGGGUUCGACUCCCCUCUUUCGCA